rnacentral:snRNA from 1 species
AGCUUUGUGCAGUGGCAGUAUCAUAGCCAAUGAGGUUUAUCCAAGGCACAAUUAUUGCUAACUGAAAAGCUACGUAGGAGCUCACAGAAUCAAAGGAGCCGACUUGGAAAGGGUAGAAACCAGAGCCAUUUCAGAGAUCCAGGAAGCAGG